ACUAAAGAAGCUUGAAAUUCAUUGACAAUGAACCACAGCCAGAUCACAAUUCUCUUAUGAAGUUUUGACCAGGGCAACCUGAAAAAUUAGGUCUCGAUGUCUUAGAGUUGCAUCUGUCUCAGUGAGCGUGCAUCCUUCUAUCAUCGAACCAGAAAGAUUAGUCAUUUGUGAAAACCUUCAGCCCAGGUGACCUGCUUGAAGGAGAGCUGCAAUGCAAGUUAUCUCCCAGGGUGGGAACUGUGGACUGCAAAGUCACAGAAUCUGAAGUUGGCAACUGACUUGGCAGUUUUCCAGCAAGUGAUAUGUGCUCUUCAGUGUGGAAAUCAAUUUUGUUCGCAAAGAGUUAAAGUAAGGAUUCAACGAGAUAAUGUUUAUAAAUCACAAGUCAUAGCCCUUGGAGUAGAACAGCCUCCCAGUAAAUGCCAAAUUAUUAUAACGGUCAUCAUCAACAUCGACAAACUACUGUUGUCCGGCAACCUCACAAGAAUUCUUUGUGUGAGCUUGUACUUUGACCACUGUUUUGAACGCUUGAAUGCAUGCUUUAAGUCGAAUCCUUUGGCCUGAUUUCUUUAGCUGACUUUAAUUGCUUGGGCAAACUGCAACCAUUCGUGUUCGCAAUCUUUCAUUCAUACAACCUUUCAGAAGCAUCCAAGAAACUUAGAGACUCCUCUAAGGAUGAUUAUAAGACCAGUGUCAGAGGGCUAGAGAGAAAUCUUCGAAUGUGAUGAUCCUGUCUGUUUCUGUAGAGCAAAAACUGAUGAAGAGAAGUAGAAAAGAGCCUGGAGAAAGAAGCGCUGAGAGACAGUUGAAGCAUGCAGUAUUAUCUUUUGAUGUCCUGCAUACAUUUCAGCUCAUGCCACAAGUUUCCAGAGGAGAAUGCAAGGCUGACAGCCAGAGCUACACGGAUAGACAAGUUGCUUUGUCCAGGGAAGUCCCUCUGCCCACCCACGAGAGUCCUGGUGGAGGUGCAGCACUGUGCCUUUGCUAUCUUCUGGCCUCCCAAGCUCCUCCCUGCCUCACCCUGAUCAGACUCUGCUUGUACCAGAUGCUUCUUCAACCAUCCUUCCCCCUGGGCUGUUAAAACCCCAAGAGCGUGUGUGUGGAAGUGGGAUGUGUCUAAUUUUGUCUCUCUCCUCUGGGCCCAGUGCCUUGAGUGACUAAAUAGAAGGAACUUAUUUAAUACAAGCAAUAAAUAAAUGAACCA
ensembl:lncRNA